rnacentral:rRNA from 1 species
UACGGGGGGGGCAAGCGUUGUUCGGAAUUACUGGGCGUAAAGGGCUCGUAGGCGGCCCUCUAAGUCAGACGUGAAAUCCCUCGGCUUAACCGGGGAACUGCGUCUGAUACUGGAUGGCUUGAGUUUGGGAGAGGGAUGCAGAAUUCCAGGUGUAGCGGUGAAAUGCGUAGAUAUCUGGAGGAACACCGGUGGCGAAGGCGGCACCCUGGACCAACACUGACACUGAGGAGCGAAAGCCAGGGGAGCAAACGGG